AGAUUGGAUUCGGGCCCCCCCACGAGAUUUUGUUCUUCUUGUAUGAGUUGCGAACGGGUGAGUAACGCGCUAGGUACCUGGCUUGUAGCGGGGGAUAACUAUUGGAAGCGAUAGCUAAUACCGCAUAAGCGGUGGGGGACACAUGUCAUUUAUUUGAAAGGGGCAAAUGCUCCACUACGAGAUGGACCUGCGUUGUAUUAGCUAGUAUGUGAGGUAACGGCUCACCUAGGCUACGAUACAUAGCCGACCUGAUAGGGUGAUCGGGCACACUGGGACUGAGACACGGCCCAGACUCCUACGGGAGGCAGCAGUAGGGAAUCUUCGGCAAUGGGGGCAACCCGGACCGAGCAACGCCGCGUGAGUGAACAAGGUUUUCGGAUCGUAAAGCUCUGUUGUAAGUCAAGAACGAUUGUGAGAGUGGAAAGUUCACACUGUGACGGUAGCUUACCAAAAAGGGACGGCUAACUACGUGCCAGCAGCCGCGGUAAUACGUAGGUCCCGAGCGUUGUCCGGAUUUAUUGCACAUAAAGCGAGCGCAGGCGGUUUGAUAAGUCUGAAGUUAAACGCUGUGGCUCAACCAUAGUUCGCUGGGGAAACUGUCAAACUUGAGUGCAGAAGGGGAGAGUGGAAUUCCCUGUGGANCGAUGAAAUGCGUACAUGUNUGGAGAACACCCGAGGCCAACCCCGCUCUCUUGUCUGUAACUGACGCUUAGGCUCAAAAGCGGGGAGAACGGAACAGGAUGGGGAUACCCUGGGACUCCCGGCCGUAAAGGAUGAAUGCUACGUAUGGGAUCCUUUCCCGGAAUCAGAGCGCGCUCCUACGCAAUAUGGACUCCCCCGGGGGAAUACGAACGCAAGUUUGAAAUUAAAAGAGUUGGCCGGCGCCGGCGCAUCUGUGAAAAAACCUUAAUUCAAAGAGCGCAAAAACCUCACAAUUCUUGGGGACAGAAGUGUCCCAAGAAUAUAAAUUCUUCCGAAACUGGGAAAGGUGUGCCGGUACCGCACCCUGACGUGAAAAUUAGUUAACCCGCACAGCGCACCCUAUAGGGGUGCAACGUUGAUUGAGC
rnacentral:rRNA from 1 species